GACGAACGCUGGCGGCGUGCCUAAUACAUGCAAGUAGAACGCUGAAGGAGGAGCUUGCUUCUCUGGAUGAGUUGCGAACGGGUGAGUAACGCGUAGGUAACCUGCCUGGUAGCGGGGGAUAACUAUUGGAAACGAUAGCUAAUACCGCAUAAUAGUAGAUGUUGCAUGACAUUUGCCUAAAAGGUGCAAUUGCAUCACUACCAGAUGGACCUGCGUUGUAUUAGCUAGUUGGUGGGGUAACGGCUCACCAAGGCGACGAUACAUAGCCGACCUGAGAGGGUGAUCGGCCACACUGGGACGGAGACACGGCCCAGACUCCUACGGGAGGCAGCAGGAGGGAAUCUUCGGCAAUGGACGGAAGUCUGACCGAGCAACGCCGCGGGAGUGAAGAAGGGUGUCGGAUCGGAAAGCUCUGUUGUAAGAGAAGAACGAGUGUGAGAGUGGAAAGUUCACACUGUGACGGUAUCUUACCAGAAAGGGACGGCUAACUACGUG
rnacentral:rRNA from 1 species